UACGUAGGGGGCUAGCGUCGUCCGGAAUCAUUGGGCGUAAAGCGCGUGUAGGCGGCCCGGUAAGUCCGCUGUGAAAGUCGGGGGCUCAACCCUCGGAAGCCGGUGGAUACUGUCGGGCUGGAGUACGGAAGAGGCGAGUGGAAUUCCUGGUGUAGCGGUGAAAUGCGCAGAUAUCAGGAGGAACACCGAUUGCGAAGGCAGCUCGCUGGGACGUAACUGACGCUGAGACGCGAAAGCGUGGGGAGCAAACAGG
rnacentral:rRNA from 1 species